CUUAUUGUAUACCCCCUCGCGGGUUUUUUUAUAAUCUGAGCCUUCUCGGCGCCUCUCGUAGGCGUUUCGAAAAUGAAUCAAAACUUUCAACAACGGAUCUCUUGGUUCUGGCAUCGAUGAAGAACGCAGCGAAAUGCGAUAAGUAAUGUGAAUUGCAGAAUUCAGUGAAUCAUCGAAUCUUUGAACGCACAUUGCGCCCGCCAGUAUUCUGGCGGGCAUGCCUGUCCGAGCGUCAUUUCAACCCUCGAACCCCUCCGGGGGGUCGGCGUUGGGGAUCGGCCCUGCCUCUUGGCGGCGGCCGUCUCCGAAAUACAGUGGCGGUCUCGCCGCAGCCUCUCCUGCGCAGUAGUUUGCACACUCGCAUCGGGAGCGCGGCGCGUCCACAGCCGUUAAACACCCAACUUCUGAAAUGUUGACCUCGGAUCAGGUAGGAAUACCCGCUGAACUUAAGCAUAUCAAUA
rnacentral:rRNA from 1 species